rnacentral:lncRNA from 1 species
UCUGUGCUCCCCAGUCGGCCCACACAUCACCGGCCCUCCAACAUCAAGACCCCUCCCUCCCUGGGAGCACCUCCUCUUGUCCCACUUGAGUGCAGCCUUUCCCUGCUGAUCGUGGGGAAUCGCAGGGAAAGGCUGGUCGUCCCAUCCACCGCCCUGCCCUGCCUGGCACGCUCUGCCCGUGCUGAGAUGGCCUUCUCCCCACCAGCUCUCUCUGUCGGCCAUUCUACACCCACUUCCCAGUUCCUUUCCCUCCAAAGUACUGGGGUGGCCAACAACAGUCAUCCCCAGGCUCCUCCCAGGAGAGGCCGUGUGACUGGGUCUCGGCCAAUGAGGCAGGAGCCGGCAUCUGCUGGGAGGGCUUCCUUUCCCAAAGAGGUCCCCCAGGGCAUGCUCCCUUUCCCAUCUGCACUGUGGAAGUCAAGCUGCACCACCUUCCUGGGAGGGAGUGUCGGGAGGAGUGUCAGGACAGCAGGCAGAAGAAGCCAGGUCUGGCCCCGCCUUCCUGUCGGGUGGGACAAGGAAAGCCCUGUGCAUUAGGGUAGCGGUUCCGAGGGACACGUCUUCUCUGGUUUAAUCAAUCACUGCACCAUGAACCAGAUGCUGUUGUUCGGGGCAGAAAAAUCAAAGCACAGAGAGGUUGGCGACAAUCCCAAGUCACACAGCUCUCGAGGGGCGGCCGGACUGGUUGUUAGGCUGCUCUCUGAAUGCCUCUGCUAUCGCCGCCCGCAGCUCCACGAGGCUAGGCCAGAACACCAGACAUGACUGGACCGUUUUCAAGGCGCUCAGCCUGUGGGCGGCAGAGCUGGGACCCUAGCCCGGCUCAGGGCAUGGCUCACACUUGAGUCCCCUUCAUCACGUCUGUACAGGACAAGCCUUCCAGAUGAGUCAUUCCCUGCGGGAGUUGCUUUACGAUGCUGCGCUUUGAAAAUCACUAGAGAAUGCAGGAAACCUGGACCCGGGCUUUCAGAUUCAGGAGCCCUGUCUGAGGAUGAGCGGGACCUGGCCCAUUCAAGGGCAGGUGUGGGGACACCCGGCGGAUGCCUUCCACCCAGGCGCCCGGCGCUGUGACCCGAGGUCUGAGGCUCUGCUUUACCCGCCUCUCUCCCGUCUUGUCGCCCUUGGGCAAGGGGCUGGGGCUCCACUCGGGAGGCCGAGUAAGCCGGGUUCCUGGCCACAUUUCCCGUCUCCACCCUCCCAAAUUGUCUGGACAAAUGAAUAAAGCUGCUAGCUGUCAAUGAGUCGCUCUCUACUCUACAGUAAUUAGAAGGUUUAAAAAAAAAAUCAGCCCAGGCGGCUCAGUGGAAGCAUUUAUACUGAUCCAUGGAGCCAGACAGGCAGUUUAAGUGGAAAUUACAGUAAAUGGAGGACUCGGAGCCUGAUUGCAUGUUGUUGCUAAGCUUGGCGGGAGCGCCCAUGCCAAGGAGGCUGUCCUCAUCUCUCUCCAUCACGGGAGCAUUCAGGGGCUGGGGGACCGAGCUGCCCUGGCCCAGCAGCCCGGGCUGGCAUGACCAUGCGGAGGGGCAGGGUGCUUGAAAACACGCCAGGCCCUGGGGCCUCCUGGCACCAAAGCCGGCAGCCAGGCCCUGGGGAGCAGGCUUCCUUCCUCUGUCCGGCCAGGAUACCUGGACUGACCCCUCUGUGCUCCCCAUCCUCGGCCUCCACCAUCAAGACCCCUCCUCCCGGGAGCACCUCCUCCUGAGUUCCACUUGACUGCAGCCUUUCCUGCCAAUCGCAGCGCCUGGCACAGAACCAAGGUGCAGGGGCCCUGUCUGAGGAUGAGCGGGACCUGGCCCAUUCAAGGGCAGGUGUGGGGACACCCAGCGGAUGCCUUCCACCCAGGCGCCCGGCGCUGUGACCCGAGUCUGAGGCUCUGCUUUACCCGCCUCUCUCCCGUCUUGUCGCCCUUGGGCAAGGGGCUGGGGCUCCACUCGGGAGGCCGAGUAAGCCGGGUUCCUGGCCACAUUUCCCGUCUCCACCCUCCCAAAUUGUCUGGACAAAUGAAUAAAGCUGCUAGCUGUCAAUGAGUCGCUCUCUACUCUACAGUAAUUAGAAGGUUUAAAAAAAAAAAAUCAGCCCAGGCGGCUCAGUGGAAGCAUUUAUACUGAUCCAUGGAGCCAGACAGGCAGUUUAAGUGGAAAUUACAGUAAAUGGAGGACUCGGAGCCUGAUUGCAUGUUGUUGCUAAGCUUGGCGGGAGCGCCCAUGCCAAGGAGGCUGUCCUCAUCUCUCUCUCCAUCACGGGAGCAUUCAGGGGCUGGGGAGACCGAGCUGCCCUGGCCCAGCAGCCCGGGCUGGCAUGACCAUGCGGAGGGGCAGGGUGCUUGAAAACACGCCAGGCCCUGGGAGCCUCCUGGCACCAAAGCCGGCAGCCAGGCCCUGGGGAGCAGGCUUCCUUCCUCUGUCCGGCCAGGAUACCUGGACUGACCCCUCUGUGCUCCCCAUCCUCGGCCUCCACCAUCAAGACCCCUCCUCCCGGGAGCACCUCCUCCUGAGUUCCACUUGACUGCAGCCUUUCCU